rnacentral:rRNA from 1 species
UACGUAGGGCGCAAGCGUUGUCCGGAAUUACUGGGCGUAAAGCGUGCGUAGGCGGUUGGUUAAGUCUGUCGUGAAAGCCCUGGGCUCAACCUGGGAAUGGCGAUGGAUACUGGCCAGCUAGAGUGUGAUAGAGGAUGGCGGAAUUCCCGGUGUAGCGGUGAAAUGCGUAGAGAUCGGGAAGAACACCAGUGGCGAAAGCGCUCUGCUGGACCUGCACUGACACUGAGGGACGAAAGCUAGGGGAGCGAAUGGG